AUUCUACUCCCUCCGUCCGGAAAUACUUGUCAUCAAAAUGGAUGAAAAUGGAUGUAUCUAGAACUAAAAUACAUCUAGAUACAUCCAUAUCAUUGACAAGUAUUUCUGGACAGAGGGAGUAUUUU
rfam:Triticum aestivum genome assembly, contig: Triticum_aestivum_CS42_TGACv1_scaffold_049355_1BS